rnacentral:rRNA from 1 species
AUGGAGAUCGUGCUUUGGCUGUUAUGGCCGACGCUCGCGGUCGUCUCGCUCCUCUACUGCCUGGCACACACACGCCGUGCGGGCACGGGGCGGAUGCCACCGGGUCCCACGCCGCUCCCUCUCGUCGGCAACGUGCUCAGCCUCGGCGGCAACCUCCACCACACCCUCGCGCGCCUCGCUCGCGCCUACGGCCCCGUCAUGACGCUCAAGCUUGGCCUCACCACCGCCGUGAUCGUGUCCUCGCGCGAUGCGGCUUGGGAGGCAUUGACGAAGCAUGACCGGCGGCUGGCUGCGCACGCCAUCCCAGACGCCGCACGCGCGCUCGGCCACUCCGACCGGUCCAUGAUAUGGCUGCCCAGCUCCGACCCGCUCUGGAAGAGCCUGCGCGGCAUCGUGGCCACCAACGUCUUCUCCCCGCGCAGCCUCGCCGUGGCGCUCGACGUCCGCCAGCGUAAGGUGCGGGACAUGGUGAGUUACUUCCGCGACUGCGCCGGCACAGAGUUGGACGUCGGCCAGGCACUGUACGGCGGCGUGCUAAACCUCGUGUCGAGCUCGUUCUGCUCCGUCGACGUGGUCGACAUGGGCGGCCAGUCGGCCCAGGGGGUGCGGAAGCUCGUUGAGGACCUCAUCGAGGUGAUCGCGAAGCCGAAUGUCUCCGAUCUUUUCCCUUUCCUUGGACCCCUCGACUUGCAAGGAUGGCGUCGCUGGACGGAGAUACGCUUCGAGAAAAUCUUCCUCAUAUUGGAUGGCAUAAUUGACCGUCGCAUGGCAGCUGCCAACGCCUCCACGGAGAAGCAAGGUGACUUCCUGGACUCGCUCCUCGAGCUCUUGUCCACAGGCAAGAUGGCUCGCGACAGCCUGACAACCAUAGUGUUCGAGGUCAUUGCGGCCGGGAGCGACGCCAUGUCCAUCACCCUAGAGUGGGCAAUGGCGGAGCUGCUUCGGAACCCAAGCGUCAUGGCAAAGGUCCGCGCGGAGAUAGACGAUGCUCUUGGCGGCAAGGAGACCAUCGGCGAGACCGACGCGGCGAGCCUGCCGUACCUGCAAGCCGUGGUAAAGGAGGCUAUGCGGCUGCACCCGGUGGCGGCGAUACUGCUGCCACACCGGGCCGUGGAGGAAGGCGUGCAGAUCGGCGGCUACGCCGUGCCGAACGGCUCAACGGUCAUUUUCAACGCGUGGGCGAUGAUGCGGGACCCGGCGGCGUGGGAGAGAUCCCACGAGUUCGUCCCGGAGAGGUUCCUGGGCAAGGCGGACCAGGUGGUGGACUUCCGGGGCAAGGCCUUCGAGUUCAUCCCGUUUGGGUCCGGCCGGCGGCUGUGCCCCGGCGUGCCGAUGGCGGAGCGCGUGGUGCCGUUCAUCCUGGCCUCGCUGCUGCACGCGUUCGAGUGGCGGCUACCGGACGGCGGUUCCGCGGCGGAGUUGGACGUGAGCGAGAGAUUUACCACUGCCAACGUCAUGGCUGUCCCACUCAAGGCCGUGCCCGUCGUGAUCACCUAA